AGAUAUAAAUAUAAAUUGUUUAUACAUUACACUAUUCCCAAAAUCGAGUAACCUUAACUUAUACACAAAUCAUAAACUAUCUAACACAUAACAAUACUAUUCUUCAACCAUACUUUUACAAAUUAGCUGCACAUUCUAUCCCAAGCUGAACUUGGCAUUUUCCUUUUCCUGUAACUGGCCGUAUUCGCCUUAUCUGCAAUGUUUUAUCAUGAUAUAGCAAGGGUGAGCAUGAAAGUUGCCCAGCAAGUUUAAAAAAAACAAGGUAAAGAUAUAUCAUGAUUGAAAGAGUUUGAAUAAUAAGCUGGCUAUCCUUCACAAUGUAGUUGUGAAUUAGCAUGAACAAAAUUUCAAAGCUGAAUGAACAUUGAAAAUGAACAUAACAAUUAUAUCUGAACUGACUGGUAAUGAAG
rnacentral:lncRNA from 1 species